CUCUUCCCCCCCCAUUGGGAUGCCUUUGGGGUGAACCAGCCUUCCUGGAACUCAGCAAGUCCCGUCUGUCACUGAGAGACCUGAAAAUAAAACAGCUCCAAUGGCACCAACUACAGAAAAAUAAAAUGAACCGAAGUUACCACUCGCCCAGACUGGUGAUGAUUGCAGCUCCUCUCCCUCAUCACAGCUCUGCAGCUGUUUGUUGUCAGAAUGGAAAGUACAAGCCCUGGCAUUUCUCCUCUCUGCCGUACUCUGGAUGGCUGCUCAGCACAUCGAGAAGGAAAAUCUCCAAACAAAAAAGCCAAAUCCCAAAACAACAACACUGGGAGCAAGUAAAAGGAACUGGGCAGAUUUUCAGAAGAAACCUAUCUGUUGUACUGUCAGCCUCACUGUUUGUUAAGCCCAACAGCUGUCUACCUGGUGGCCUUCCAGUGUCCAGCUACUGCGUAUCCCAAACCCAGUAUGUAGGGAUCAAAAAAUAUUGUACUCCUUAUCCAUAAGGCAAGAAAAAGCACUGUUCCAUGUUUAAACCUGUUGGGCAUAUAAGACACCGAGACAUUUCUUGCCCUCCUCCAGGAAGCUCCUUAUGUAGCUUUGCUGAGAAGCAUACAGGUUACACAGCAAGGGACUGCAGCAUGAAAUUAAGCUGCAAAAGGGAUGGGAACACAAAUUACCAUUAACAGCCAGUAGCAAUUACCUAUGUGUUACAGCUUGCAUAUAUACAUGAAAAUUCAUACUCAAAAUAUAUACCAAUAUGCAUGCAUAUAAGUUUGGGAAACACAUUUCAUCCUCUCUCACAUAACAGGAGGUAUUUUUGGUGCAGUUUUCUGAAAACUAGGCAAAGGGUGUAAAGUAAAGAAGCUACAGAAGUUGGCAUUAUUUCCACUUAAUCAGUAAGAAAUCAUUACAGCUUUGCUAUGAAAAUGAAACAACUCUAGUCAUACAAGAUACAUCAUGACACAGAAAAAUUAGAAAACACUCUGAGCUCUGCACAGCAAGAUUUGUAAGCCUGCCAGCAGAAUCACAAACUCGCACAGCUCUAAUUUGUCUAGGAAAAAAAGGGGUGUUUAAUUGCUGUGCAUAAUAAACACAGAGACGUCAGAGAGCAGCCAUGGAUAACAUGCACAAGUAGAUUCCAGCUGUAUCGCUAAGGAAAUAUAAAAGUGAUUUAUUUUAUAUCUCGAUGCUAAGUCCAAUAAAUCACAUUAAAAUAAAAUGACUAAAUUUCCCUAAGUGCUCAGCACUCAGCAGCUCUUGCUGGCCUCACUACCGAGCUCUCUUGGAAAUGCAUUCAUUUCAUUUAGGUAUCUGCAGGGUAUGGUGCCAUGCAGCUUUACCUGAGCUGUGAUGGGCUCUGCAAGCAAUAGCUUUUUAGCACGUUCAAUUAGCCCAUACAAAGCUGAGCACUAAUGUAGUCCUCAUGCUCCUAGCACCUGAACUAGUUUAUUGAGAGCUAACUGGUCAGUCUUCUCUCUGCUCCAUGUGCAAAUCCUCCAAGCAUCAGAUGAUUGCUUUCAAAAGCCUGUCCGGUUUGCAUUGCUUAAUUAUAGCCUCUAGGGGCUAGCCCUUGUAUAAAUAUCUAGUCAGAAAUUCAUCUUUGUUCUGCUUCUAGCUACAGCCUGUAAAGAUCACCAGAUGCCUGAUGUGUACAUGAAUUGGAUUAGUACAACAUUAUGUUUAUAUCUCGGAGUUUAUUUCUUUUCACCAAAGAGUGAGUUGAGAGAAUACAAUGGAGCCAACAUACCAGAAAGGAUAUGAAGUACCAUAAAUUUUGGUAUGGAAAGGUCACUAAUUAACCUGCAACUAGCCUAACGUCAAUAUUCGUAUUCUCUUCUCAAGAUAUUUUUUUUAUUGGUAGCUGGAGAGGAAAAGACAUGUUCAUGAAAACAAGGGAGGCAAGGAAGAAUUUUUCUUUAGCUGGGGUGCUCUCCAAGUCACAAUUUAGCCCACUGCAACUGUCUGCCUCAGUGAAAUCCUUAGGGUAUCUUGUAUGCAAAGCAAGUUACUAUCUACUUUGCAAGCAAUUUGGGUUCUUUUUUUUUUUUUUUCCCUAUUCAUUUAACCUUACUUGUCUGAAGAUGUCUAAGACUUUAUUGACUUUAAUUCAGAACUUACAAAUCUUGUCAAAGUGUUGAUAUUUUGUCCUUGACAAAGACAAAUUUUAAUUUAAUAAUCAGUUCUUUUUUACCUUGCCUUCUCUGCUAUAUCAGCUUUAAGACAAAAACAAAAAGUAUUCAUUUCCAUACUGAGAUCACAAAUCACUAUCAAUGUCUUGAGCAGUAGAUGACAAACCACUGUUACGGAGUUUUAUUUGAAGCUUUAGACACCUCUGGAUUUAUCACUUGUCACAGAAAUCUGCACAUUCUCACUAUCUGCAAAUACCCUGUCUUUACUUCAGAGGAUUUUUACAGUAAAGUCAACACAAAAAUUCUGUCUGAAAUUCCCAUAAAAGUAAUAGGGCAAUCAAUAAAGUUGAAUUUAAUGUGAUUUUUUUUUUUUUUUGUAUAUACUUCUUUAAAGAGUAGGAUUUAAGUGAGAAUUGGACCAGUGUUUACCUGAUUCAGGAAAUAUAUUGCUGACUUUCAAGGUAUCUUGAAAAAAAUAUUUAUAAAUUAGGCAAGAACUAUGUGCUUGAAAUUAAUAGCAGAGAUAAGAAUCUGGCUUGCUUUCCCAUCCUCACCCUCUGCUGUUGGUAUACAUGUAACACGCUUAAGAUCUUCCAAGUCCUUCAGAAUUUACAUCAUUCUAAACAAGAACAACACCAGAAAAUCAUGGUAGAUCAUGGUAGACUGUUCACUUUUUCAUUUUAAUGUUGGAGGGUCUUCAGUUUGAAUAAAAAUUGUGCACAACAUUGAGGGCAUUUUUUUCCAUGUUCACAGUGCUGGUAAAAAAGAUUUACCUGAAUAUGAAGAAGAUAUUGCCACAACAAAUAGAGAUAAUAAAUAAAUUCAUCCUUUGUUCUAGUGGAAGGUGCACAGUUGGAGAAAGGAGAGACUUGGGACUCAGGAUUAUUUAGUGCAGGGAACUGUUCAGCCAUCUGUCCAUGAACAGAUAGCAUCCUCUCCCAUUAGUGCUGAAAUAAUCUCUUUGCAACAUCUUGCUAGAUCAAGGUUGGUAAUGAAAAACUGACUGAAAGAAUGGGAUAUAAAAGUCAUGUUGAAGAAAGACAUUAAAAGAAAACUUUAAUAGAGAAGACAGAGGAGAGAAUAUUAUGUUGCUAAGAAUAUAAAGAAAAACAGUGCCCCCCAGAACUCUGGCAUACUCAGAGAGGGAAAACAUAUUCAUAUUAACUAUACAGAUGGAAAAUUCUCUUUGAACACCACAGAAAAAGUACACCAACUCAAACCAGUUAGCCAACAGGUAAAAUAUUCAGCAAAUGUUAAAUGAAAACAUAUUUAAGUAUUUUGAAGAGUUAUCAAAGUGUACAUAAUAAUAGCUAGUAAGAAAAGCUGAGUAAAUCAUUUGCCAGAAUCACUCAUUUAAAAACAAACAAACAAACAACUUUCAGAUAGUUGACAGCUUUUAUAGUUGUCACAUAUGGCUAAGAAAAGGCAUAAGUUUUGAACUACUUCGAAGCAUACAAAAAAGUAUAUAUAUAACUCUAUGCUUAAACAGGUGUUAAACUGCCUCAAGAAAUAAGAAAUAUAAAGAAUACAUGUAAUUUUUUUGAAUGAGAUCUUUUUGAAACUUGGAACUUAACAUUUCUCUGGGAAUUGAAAGGUACUUGAAGCAUUAGGGUGAGAAGAUUCAGGCAUUCAAAGUGUGAAGCCUGUGUUUAAGCUCAUAACCUAUGAUUCAACUACAACCUUCUAUCUACCUGCCACUGUUUAUAUGACAAAUAAAUCAGUGUUAUGGGAUUUACAUAAUUGAUCUGUAUAUAAGCAGCAAGUUAAAAUAAAAUGUUGAACUUCC